rnacentral:tRNA from 1 species
GCGGGGGUUCCCGAGCGGCCAAAGGGGUCAGGCUUAGGACCUGAUGGACUAGUCCUCCGUGGGUUCGGACCCCACCCCCCCCACCA